UACGUAGGGUGCGAGCGUUAAUCGGAAUUACUGGGCGUAAAGUGUGCGCAGGUGGCCGCGCAAGUCGAGUGUGAAAUCCCCGGGCUUAACUUGGGAAUUGCGCUCGAAACUACGUGGCUCGAGUAUGGCAGAGGAAGGUGGAAUUCCACGUGUAGCGGUGAAAUGCGUAGAGAUGUGGAGGAACACCGAUGACGAAGGCAGCCUUCUGGGCCAAUACUGACGCUCAUGCACGAAAGCGUGGGGAGCAAACAGG
rnacentral:rRNA from 1 species